UUUUGGACAAUGGGCGAAAGCAUGAUCCAGCAAUGCCGCGUGUGGGAAGAAGGCCUUCGGGUUGUAAACCACUUUUGUACGGAACGAAAAGGUCUGCCCUAAUACGGUGGGCCCAUGACGGUACCGUAAGAAUAAGCACCGGCUAACUACGUGCCAGCAGCCGCGGUAAUACGUAGGGUGCGAGCGUUAAUCGGAAUUACUGGGCGUAAAGCGUGCGCAGGCGGUUAUACAAGACAGGCGUGAAAUCCCCGGGCUUAACCUGGGAAUGGCGCCUGUGACUGUAUAGCUAGAGUGUGUCAGAGGGGGGUAGAAUUCCACGUGUAGCAGUGAAAUGCGUAGAUAUGUGGAGGAAUACCAAUGGCGAAGGCAGCCCCCUGGGAUAACACUGACGCUCAUGCACGAA
rnacentral:rRNA from 1 species